CGGGGGGAGCAAGCGUUGUUCGGAUUUACUGGGCGUAAAGGGCGCGUAGGCGGUCGUGACAAGUCACUUGUGAAAUCUCCGGGCUUAACUCGGAACGGUCAAGUGAUACUGUCGGACUAGAGUACAGAAGGGGCAACUGGAAUUCUCGGUGUAGCGGUGAAAUGCGUAGAUAUCGAGAGGAACACCUGCGGCGAAGGCGGGUUGCUGGGCUGAUACUGACGCUGAGGCGCGAAAGCCAGGGGAGCGAACGGGAUUAGAUACCCCGGUAGUCCUGGCCUUAAACGAUGAAUGCUUGGUGUCUCGGGUUAUAAAGUCCCGGGGUGCCGUCGCUAACGCUUUUAGCAUUCCGCCUGGGGAGUACGGUCGCAAGACUG
rnacentral:rRNA from 1 species